GAGUUUGAUCUUGGCUCAGAUUGAACGCUGGCGGCAGGCCUAACACAUGCAAGUCGAGCGGAUGACGGGAGCUUGCCCCUUGAUUCAGCGGCGGACGGGUGAGUAAUGCCUAGGAAUCUGCCUGGUAGUGGGGGACAACGUUUCGAAAGGAACGCUAAUACCGCAUACGUCCUACGGGAGAAAGCAGGGGACCUUCGGGCCUUGCGCUAUCAGAUGAGCCUAGGUCGGAUUAGCUAGUUGGUGGGGUAAUGGCUCACCAAGGCGACGAUCCGUAACUGGUCUGAGAGGAUGAUCAGUCACACUGGAACUGAGACACGGUCCAGACUCCUACGGGAGGCAGCAGUGGGGAAUAUUGGACAAUGGGCGAAAGCCUGAUCCAGCCAUGCCGCGUGUGUGAAGAAGGUCUUCGGAUUGUAAAGCACUUUAAGUUGGGAGGAAGGGCAGUAAGUUAAUACCUUGCUGUUUGACGUUACCGACAGAAUAAGCACCGGCUAACUCUGUGACAGCCGCCGCCGU
rnacentral:rRNA from 1 species